UCCACAUAUUAUGGUGAUGAACCAAAGAUACCUUGCACCUACGACGUGCUUGAUUCGAACAUAUCCGGCAAGAUAAGAAAGUGAAGUUGAGGAAGGAUCAUGCAACUGGGAUCUAGCAGAUGAGACGGGAAGUUGACUAAUGAGGACAAGGAGAAAAAGAUCCUGCAAAACAAUCAGAGAGGUGAAAUCGCGCCCUUUUUAGGUGGAGUAAGUUUCCCUGUCGUCCAUAGCUCCAACAUCUGUAGUGAAGCUCUCGGUUGAUCCAUAGGAACCAUGUGUCCAGCAUCAUGAACCUUAAUGAAAGUGAGAGGCCCAUGAUUCUUUAGAAUCCCAGCUUCUUUCCCAUCAACCAAAAAUGGAACAUCUGA